CUAAUUCAAUCAAAUUUUAUUUAAUCCUCUUUGCUUAAUCAAAAUUAAGCUAAUAAGCAAUCUAAUUACUAAUUAAUCCUUCAUUAAUUCACUAAUACUUAGUGAAUUAAUUUAUUACAAUUUUUGCAUAAGGUUAACCAUCAAUCGAAUUGACGAUUAAGCCCUUAAACGAUUCUUAAUCAUUGACCAAUCAUAUGAUCAGUAAGAAAUUUUUUUUGAGUGUGACCUCAUAGAUUCGAACC
rnacentral:lncRNA from 1 species